CGGUAGGUGGAUAACCUUCCGAAAGGAGGGCUAAUACAGCAUGAGACCACGGUCCCGCAAGGGAUUGAGGUCAAAGUCGGCCUCUUCAUGAAAGCUGACGCCAUGGGAUGAGCCUGCGGCCCAUCACGGUAGUUGGUGGGUAAUGGCCUACCAAGCCUAAGACGGGUAGCUGGUCUGAGAGGAUGAUCAGCCACACUGGAACUGAGACACGGUCCAG
rnacentral:rRNA from 1 species